AUCAAGCUGAUGAGUCGCAAAUAGGAUGAAACGCUCGUCCUGGAU
rnacentral:hammerhead_ribozyme from 1 species